ACAUCACUAAAUUGAUUUCACACCCCACUAAUGGAUGGUGAGGCACAGUUUGAAAAACUGUAUUCUUUCAGGACACUGAAUGGUCAGAACCCAAUGUGCUUUUAUUCAUUCAUUCAACAAAUAUUCGUGGCCAUGUAUAAUGUAUCAGGUGCUGUAUUUACUGUACUUCAUGCCAGGAAAGCAACAGAGAAGAAAACAUACCCAGUCCAGUCCCUGACCUCAUGUCGUUUACAAUCUUGGCUAAUCAAGUUCACAAAUAAAUGAUUCCAAAUCAUGAUGGGAGUGAAGCCAUAGAGGAUAAGAGGGCUCAGGGUGGGGUGAUCAGAGGUCUCUGAGGCAAUGAUCUGGAAGCUGCCACCUACAAGAUGAGGAGUUAGCAAGAUAGAGACAGCAGGAAUGAGCUCUCCGACAGAGGGCGUGAAAGCAAGUGCAAAGGCCGAGACUCAAAAGAGCAGGAAAGACUGAGGAAGCGGCCAGUGUGGCUCCAACACAGUGGAGGAGUGGGGGAAUCCUACUGAGAUAGAGGCCCUGGGCUGAAAUAAUUCUCAUCCUUCAAGGCCCAACUCCAGCCAAUGGCACUGACCUCCCAGACCUGCCAGGCAGAAGCGGUGGCUCCCUCUCAGCUGACCCCAGAGCACUUCCUUAGCUCCUGCUGAUCUCGGAGCACACAAACCAAUCCACUCUGGCCACUCAGCAAUUUUUCUUGAUGGCCCUGGCAUGGCACCUAUGCUGGGGUCAGACCCUCAACCAGCCCUUCAGUGUUGAAAUGCACAACCUCAGCCCUUUAGCCUCAGCGGAGGAGGCAGGGCUCUUCAGUUUGGGAGAACCAUAUACAACCAAAAGGAGGGGCCAAAAUAUCUGAAGCCCCCAGGAGCUGGCUCCUCCACAGCUCUCAGGAAUGACAGUAAACACAAACGGCCCUGCAUGUAUUCAGGCUAUGGCCACCUUUCUCCUGGGCUGCACAUCAGGCUAACAAGCCCAGCCCUCAGCUUCACAGGGAUUGGAGAGCUGGUGACCCUAGUCAAGGAAGCUGGUGACCCUAGAUCGGUUGCCUCCCCUCUCUGUGCCUAAAUCCCCCACCCUACUUCUGUCAAUUAGGAGGAUGAUGCCUUCUUUAAAGUGUUGUCAUAAAGAUUAAAUCCUUAUUAAAGUCU